rnacentral:lncRNA from 1 species
UUACAGGGAGCUUGUAGCUCGGAGGAUCAAGUGCAAGAGAUUUCAGGAGUUGCUAUCUUCCAGUGUCCGCGAGGUGAGUCUUCUCACUAUACCUCACCCGGAAGGGUUUGAUUGUGUGACCGGAAGGUCAAGUAUGCUAUGUGUUAUUUUAUAUGCUAUAAAUGGAAAGUUAGCUGCUACGCGUGAUAUACAUGCUUAUAUAUGGGCCGGAAGGCAAGGUAUUGUGUGACAGAAAGGUCAGGUAUGAUAUAUGAUAUAUGUGCUUUAUGUGUUAGAGUAAUUGUAUUAUGUGUUAUACAUGUGUAUGGGCCGGAAGGCGAUAUAUAUUAUGUGGAUCGAAAGGUCCGGGCCGGAAGGCAAUGUUAUGUGGAUCGAAAGAUCCGGGCCGGAAGGCAAUGUUAUGUGGAUCGAAAGAUCCGGGCCGGAAGGCAAUGUUAUGUGGAUCGAAAGAUCCGGGCCGGAAGGCAAUGUUAUGUGGAUCGAAAGAUCCGGGCCGGAAGGCAAUGUUAUGUGGACCGAAAGGUCCGGGCCGGAAGGCAAUGUUAUGUGGACCGAAAGAUCCGGGCCGGAAGGCGAUGUUAUGUGGAUCGAAAGAUCCGGGCCGGAAGGCAAUGUUAUGUGGAUCGAAAGAUCCGGGCCGGAAGGCAAUAUUAUGUGGACUGAAAGGUCCGGGCCGGAGGGCGUAUGUGCGUAAGGUAUAUUGGGGAACUCACUAAGCUUCGUGCUUACGUUGUUUAUGUUAUGUUGUUUCAGGUUCUUACAGUAAUGCGGGAUGGCAACGGUUCGAUUGUACACACCGAAGAAAGAGUUGUGUUUUGGAGGAUCCUGGUCUUCUAUUAUAA